UGUUUUGUUUGUUUGUUUGUUUUAUGAAACCACAUCCUUUUUCAUUCUUUAUAGCCCAAUAGUAUCUCAUCACAAUUGUAUACCGCAACUUGGACCUUGCAAUACUUAUGAUAGAUGAACUACCUUACACCGGCUAUACUACCUCAGGACUUCUCUGAUUGAUUUUUUCUCCAUGCCCCAGCAAGUUCAUUACUGAUAUAUCAUGAAGAUCCUGUAAGAUCUCAUCAGCCUCAGUUUCUUAGAAUGUCAGCUUUGUAAGCACCUUGGAGAGCAUCUGGUUCAAACCUGCUGUUUUAUGGGAGGCAAUGAGGGGCCAGAACUAAGAGGUGAUUUGACCAAGGACACCCUGGAAGUUACCCAAGCAUACAGCACUUGAACCCAGAUCGCUUUGAGCAAGAACAGGACACAAGAUGUUACAAUAGCCCUGGAGAGAAGCUCGCUCUGGAAAGACCCGUCAGAUGAGGAGCACAAUAGAGACGCAAAUCACCAACUUCCUCGAUUUUACUUACCAGAGAGAUCCCUCCCCCAGGGGAGCAAGCGCCAGUAAAGCAAUAAAGCAGCCCAGGGUGAAACGUCCCUAGGAAGGCGCAUUGUCCUGCGCAAGUCACCCUCUUGCCCCUGGACAGUUUCAUCAUCAGUAAAAACGGCUCAAUUUUAUUGCAGGCAUUCCGCCAGAGUGGAAAGAGAACAGGCCUUGAGGCCAGGCUGUCUGAAUUUCAU